UGUCAUGAGGUAAUGGCCCCGCCCACUGAACUUCAGCUCAUCCACUGACAUUAUUUCUUCCUCAUUGUACUGCAGUGGAAGAACAUUGUUCAUCUGCUGUGUGUCUGACUUUAAUAACUCCAAAGACAUGUUGUUUUACUUCUUUCUGUUUUCAUCUCACUUCAUAGGUGAGUUCAUGAACAGCUGAGUUUCUCUUUUAACCUGAUGUGUUCAUGUUCACAGUUGAAAUCUCACAAUAUUCUGUGUUUGUCAUCAAGUUGUGUACAAUCUAAUUGUAAUCUUAGCUACAGUUGAGCUGUUUGUGUCCACAGAGUAACACUGUACAGGUGAUAUUUUCCACUGUCUUCUCCUCUCAGCCUCAUGGACAAUGUGAGUCUGAUGGCUUCAUUUUCUCUACUUUUUCCAGGACUAAUAGCUGGAGAUACAAUCUCUCCUGGACAAGAUGAAGUCAGUGGAACAGAAGGACAAUCUGUCACACUCUCAUGCAACUAUGAGGCAGAUAAUGAUGGUUAUACUCGUAGACUUUACUGGUACAAACAUCAUUCUGACCUUCAGGCUCCUCAGUUUAUACUCUGGAAAGGAGCAAAAGGGAACAGAGGUGAAAAUAUUCCUGAUAAAGGUAAAUAUGAAUCCCAAACAUCAGCUACAUCAACUACAUUGACCAUCAGAGAGCUAACCCUGGCAGACACAGCUCUCUACUACUGUGCUGUAGAGAAAGACACACAGUGA